UACGAAGGGGGCUAGCGUUGCUCGGAAUCACUGGGCGUAAAGCGCACGUAGGCGGAUCUUUAAGUCAGGGGUGAAAUCCUGGAGCUCAACUCCAGAACUGCCUUUGGUACUGGGGAUCUCGAGUCCGGAAGAGGUGAGUGGAACUCCGAGUGUAGAGGUGAAAUUCGUAGAUAUUCGGAAGAACACCAGUGGCGAAGGCGGCUCACUGGUCCGGUACUGACGCUGAGGUGCGAAAGCGUGGGGAGCAAACAGG
rnacentral:rRNA from 1 species